UACGGGGGGGGCAAGCGUUGUUCGGAAUUACUGGGCGUAAAGGGCUCGUAGGCGGCCAUCUAAGUCAGACGUGAAAUCCCUCGGCUUAACCGGGGAACUGCGUCUGAUACUGGUUGGCUUGAAUCCGGGAGAGGGAUGUGGAAUUCCAGGUGUAGCGGUGAAAUGCGUAGAUAUCUGGAGGAACACCGGUGGCGAAGGCGGCAUCCUGGACCGGUAUUGACGCUGAACGGCGAAAGCUAGGGGAGCAAACGGG
rnacentral:rRNA from 1 species